rnacentral:tRNA from 1 species
GCGGAAAUGGCGAAAUUGGUAGACGCACCAGAUUUAGGUUCUGGCACUUCGGUGUAAGGGUUCGAGUCCCUUUUUCCGCACCA